rnacentral:rRNA from 1 species
GAAUUUUGCUCAAUGGGCGAAAGCCUGAAGCAGCAACGCCGCGUGAGGGAUGAAGGCCUUCGGAUUGUAAACUCCUGUUGCCCGGGACGAAUGGCUUCAACCUAAUACGUUGGAGUGUGACGGUACCGGGUGAGGAAGCCCCGGCGAACUCUGUGCCAGCAGCCGCGGUAAUACAGAGGGGGCAAGCGUUGUUCGGAAUUACUGGGCGUAAAGGGCGCGUAGGCGGCCUGCUAAGUCGAACGUGAAAUCCCUGGGCUCAACCCAGGAACUGCGUCCGAUACUGGUUGGCUUGAAUCCGGGAGAGGGAUGUGGAAUUCCAGGUGUAGCGGUGAAAUGCGUAGAUAUCUGGAGGAACACCGGUGGCGAAGGCGACAUCCUGGACCGGUAUUGACGCUGAGGCGCGAAAGCCAGGGGAGCAAACGGG